rnacentral:tRNA from 1 species
AUCUAAACUGGUGAGCACACCCUUGGUAAGGGUGAGGUCGGUGGUUCAAUCCCACUCGGCAGCACCA